CUACAACAAUAUCAAGAACAAACCUCACCAACUCCAAAGUCCAAAUUGCCCUACCGGUGAGCCAUUGAAUCAAAUUAAUACCAAAAGCAAGAAUCACCAAUCAGGAAAAAUAGAGAAAUUUCUCAUUUCUUUUUCCUCUUAACUUCCUGGAAACAAAUCACAGAAAUGAGAUACUAGAAAACCCUCCUGGAUUAUUGAAGAAAGAAAGAGGAGCAAGAUGAGCUUCAGCUCUGAUGCUUUGACCACUACUCUCUC
rnacentral:misc_RNA from 1 species